rnacentral:misc_RNA from 1 species
AUGUGGUGAUCGACAUGACCAUAUUUAUCAUAGAGCUAGGCUACUGGUGGAGCAAGUUAAAGUUAGCAAAGGAAGUCCACUUGUUACUUGCCUCCUGGAAGGUCCAAGUGGCAGUGGUAAAACUGCUUUGGCAGCUACUGUUGGCAUUGACAGUGAUUUUCCAUAUGUCAAGAUAGUUUCAGCUGAAUCAAUGAUUGGCCUUCAUGAGAGCACUAAAUGUGCACAGAUUGUUAAGGUGUUUGAGGAUGCAUACAAGUCACCGCUAAGCAUUAUAAUUCUUGACGACAUUGAGAGACUACUGGAAUAUGUUGCCAUUGGGCCACGCUUUUCAAAUUUGAUUUCUCAGACAUUGUUGGUUCUCCUCAAACGUCUUCCUCCAAAGGGAAAGAAACUUAUGGUGAUAGGGACAACAAGUGAAGUCGGUUUUUUAGAUUCAAUUGGCAUUUGUGAUGCUUUCUCUGUCACUUACCAUGUUCCCACAUUGAAGGCAGAAGAUGCAAAGAAGGUAUUGAGACAACUUAAUGUUUUUGCUCGAGAAGAUGUUGAUGCAGCUGCUGAAGCACUCAAUGAUAUGCCAAUCAAGAAGCUAUAUAUGU